UACGAAGGGGCUAGCGUUGUUCGGAAUUACUGGGCGUAAAGGGCGCGUAGGCGGUGUGUCAAGUCAGGCGUGAAAGCCCCGGGCUCAACCUGGGAACCGCGCUUGAGACUGGCACGCUCGAGUCCGGGAGAGGAUGGUGGAAUUCCCAGUGAUAGAGGUGAAAUUCGUAGAUAUUGGGAAGAACACCGAUGGCGAAGGCAGCCAUCUGGACCGGCACUGACGCUGAGGCGCGAAAGCGUGGGGAGCAAACAGG
rnacentral:rRNA from 1 species